rnacentral:rRNA from 1 species
GAUGAACGCUGGCGGCGUGCCUAAUACAUGCAAGUCGAGCGAACGGACGAGAAGCUUGCUUCUCUGAUGUUAGCGGCGGACGGGUGAGUAACACGUGGAUAACCUACCUAUAAGACUGGGAUAACUUCGGGAAACCGGAGCUAAUACCGGAUAAUAUUUUGAACCGCAUGGUUCAAAAGUGAAAGACGGUCUUGCUGUCACUUAUAGAUGGAUCCGCGCUGCAUUAGCUAGUUGGUAAGGUAACGGCUUACCAAGGCAACGAUGCAUAGCCGACCUGAGAGGGUGAUCGGCCACACUGGAACUGAGACACGGUCCAGACUCCUACGGGAGGCAGCAGUAGGGAAUCUUCCGCAAAGGGCGAAAGCCUGACGGAGCAACGCCGCGUGAGUGAUGAAGGUCUUCGGAUCGUAAAACUCUGUUAUUAGUGAAGAACAUAUGUGUAAGUAACUGUGCACAUCUUGACGGUACCUAAUCAGAGAGCCACGGCUAACUACGUG